GAGCAAAGCCGGCAAAUCGUAGAUGUGAUUGUUGCUUCCAUGACCAGCAACAAAUGCAAAAUUAAAUUGCAGAGACACACCUGUCAGGAGAAACCAGAGAAUGGGUUACAGUUUAUUUACAGAGGCUGUGAGCCUCGGUCUUGGAAAAGCGAAGCGUCUGCUCUUAGGUGGUUGGGCACACUGACUCGUCCCCAGUAUUGUCGUCUCUUUCCUCUGUCGGACGCAAGUCAUAAAACAUUGUCCUGAGAUGUACUCGGGGGAGGUCACAGCCACCAGCCCCAAAACGUGUUCCCAAUCCUUGCCCGCCCUGCACCAGCUGCCCCGCCUCGGUCAGCAGGACAGGCGAAGCCAUUUGUCCUUUUCUAACAGCCAUGAAAACCACGGAGCGUGUUAAACAGGAGAUUUCUUUAAAGACCCCCUCCCGGAGGCGGACCUGUACCUGCUGGCCAGGGUCCUGCACGACUGGACGGACGACAAGUGCUCCCGCCUGCUGGCCAGAAUCCACGGCGCCUGCAGGACAGGCGGUGGCAUCCUGGUCAUUGAGAGCCUCCUGGAUGCCGAUGGGCGGGGCCCCCUGACCACACAGCUCUACUCGCUCAACAUGCUCGUGCAGACCGAGGGCCGCGAGCGGACCCCCGCCCAGUACCGCGCACUCCUGGCCCCCGCUGGCUUCCACGACAUCCAGUGCCGCAGAACCGGGGGCACCUACGACGCCAUCCUGGCCAGGAAGUGACCCCCAGCGUCAUCUGAGACCCCUCACGGACUGCCCUCCAGAGGCCGUGUCUGGCACAUUUCCUGGUUUUGUGCCCGGAGAGCGAUGCUGAGCUUCUGCUCCCAGAUGCCGACUGCCUGCCACCGUGAGGGGUGUCUUGUUUUAGUUUUUGAGUUAUUUUCAUUUGAUUGUGUAUCAUUCCAGUCCGAUCUAUUUUAUUUCAUUUCAUUCCUUGCAUGUGAUGAAGUGAGGGGUCUGAGAGGAGGUCCCCCUGGAUGAGGGGCCCUCCCUCCAAGGACAGGGUCCUCCUAAGAGACGCAAGAGGAGACACAGUCACAGAGGAGAAGCCACGGGAAGUUCUGAGAGGAGGUCCUCCUGGAUCGGAGUGGCCCUGGGAACUCCUGCGCCAUUUUUAAGUGUCCAGUCCAGUAGCCUUGAGGACAUUCGUAGUGUUUAGCAGCCACCCCCUAUCCUCCGUCUCCAGAACUUUCUCACCUUCCCAAACUGAAACUCUGUCUCCAUUCAGCACCCACUCCCCCAUCCCCUCCCUCAGCCCCUGGCCCCACCGUCUACUUCCCUACUCUGUGAAGUUGCCUAUUCUAGAUUAAAUUGCAAUCUUUUAAUAAUGGUUA
rnacentral:lncRNA from 9 species